UACGGGAGGCAGCAGUGGGGAAUCUUGCGCAAUGGGCGAAAGCCUGACGCAGCCAUGCCGCGUGAAUGAUGAAGGUCUUAGGAUUGUAAAAUUCUUUCACCGGGGACGAUAAUGACGGUACCCGGAGAAGAAGCCCCGGCUAACUUCGUGCCAGCAGCCGCGGUAAUACGAAGGGGGCUAGCGUUGCUCGGAAUUACUGGGCGUAAAGGGCGCGUAGGCGGAUCGUUAAGUCAGAGGUGAAAUCCCAGGGCUCAACCCUGGAACUGCCUUUUGAUACUGGCGAUCUUGAGUAUGAGAGAGGUAUGUGGAACUCCGAGUGUAGAGGUGAAAUUCGUAGAUAUUCGGAAGAACACCAGUGGCGAAGGCGACAUACUGGCUCAUUACUGACGCUGAGGGCGCGAAAGCGUGGGGAGCGAAACAGGGAUUAGAUACCCGU
rnacentral:rRNA from 1 species